rnacentral:rRNA from 1 species
UACAGGGGGUGCAAACGUUGCUCGGAAUCAUUGGGCGUAAAGCGCACGUAGGCGGUCUGUUAUGUCGGAUGUGAAAGCCCUUGGCUCAACUGAGGAAGUGCAUCCGAAACUGGCAGGCUAGAGUACUAAAGAGGGUCGCGGAAUUCCCGGUGUAGAGGUGAAAUUCGUAGAUAUCGGGAGGAACACCGGUGGCGAAGGCGGCGACCUGGGUAGAUACUGACGCUGAGGUGCGAAAGCGUGGGGAGCGAACAGG